GGAAACUCACGUCUCUGUCUCUGCCUCUUUCUGUUUCAUGCCCAAAAUGAUCUGCAUUUUCUAAGUUCUCUCUCUCUCAAACCCACACUCUCUCUUUCUACAAUGGAGAACGGUCUACACGAAGAUCUAUCUGAUUCAACCCAGCGACCCUCCAACUCCGACAAUGAACGGGGAAUCUAUUUCGUACCCUUCAGGUGGUGGAAGGAUGCGCAAGAUUCAUCGAUAUCAGAUGAAUCCGAUGGGAAUAGAGGGGUUCUGUACAAGGGAACUUCAGGUUCUUCUUAUGCGGGUCCUAUGAAGCUCAUCAACAACAUAUUCAACUCGGAUCUUGUAUUGAAUUUGAGGAGAGAAGAGGAAUCUUUGCCCAACGGUGAAAAUGACGAAGUAGGUGUCUCAGGACGAGACUUUGCAUUGGUCUCGGGGGAAAUGUGGUUGAAGGCACUCAAAUGGCAUAGUGAUGCCAAAGUUGCAUCCAAGUGUGGCAAAACCAUUUCUGCUGCAGGAGAUGAUAUGUCGGAUGUCUACCCUUUACAACUGAGGCUUUCUGUGCAGCAGGAAGUGAAUUCGUUAGGUGUAAAAAUUAGCAAAAAGGACAAUUCAACCGAGCUUUUCAGAAGAGCCUGCAAGAUUUUCAGUGCUGAUUCUGAGAUGUUACACAUCUGGGACUUUUCUGGGCAAACAACCCAAUUUUUUAUGAACGACAAAAGCAAAUUCCCAAAAGACUGUCAGCGGCUGUUGGAUCAGGAGAUUCUCCUGGAGUUACAAGUUUAUGGGCUAUCUGAUAACAUGAAAUGCAGAGAAGGGAAAAAGGAUGAUGCUGCUUUACAAAUUUCUAAUGGGACACAUUCUUCUGGAACAUCAUUUAUGGUGAAUGGAAGUGCUGGCAACAUCAGCAAUGGUUUUUUUCGUAGUAAUUCUUCAGCUUCCUUUGGAAAAUCUGGAGAAGCUGGCUCUUUGGGAUUGACAGGAUUGCAGAAUCUUGGAAAUACUUGUUUCAUGAAUAGUGCCAUUCAGUGCUUAGCACAUACACCAAAACUUGUAGACUAUUUUCUUGGAGAUUAUGGUAGAGAAAUAAAUCAUGACAACCCAUUGGGCAUGGAUGGUGAGAUUGCCUUAGCUUUUGGGGAUUUGUUAAGGAAAUUAUGGGCUCCUGGAGCAAGUCCAGUUGCACCAAGAAUGUUCAAGUCAAAGCUUGCUCGAUUUGCGCCUCAAUUCAGUGGCUUUAAUCAACAUGAUUCUCAGGAGCUCCUUGCUUUCUUGUUGGAUGGACUUCAUGAGGAUCUCAAUCGUGUAAAAUGUAAACCUUAUGUAGAAGCCAAGGAUGGAGAUAGUAGACCAGAUGAAGAAGUUGCUGAUGAG
rnacentral:misc_RNA from 1 species